GGUUAACCCUAGCUGGACCUGGCACCCAGACCACUUCAUUAAGCUGAAGUGGUCUGGGUGCCUAGAGUGGUCCUUUAAAGGACGGCUAGGUUUAAGUAUAUGUUAUUACCCUGAACCAUAGGGGCUCAUUUGGAACUCCAGGCCAAUUGCCCACUGUUGGGCUCCCCCUUCCCCUACACUGCUCCUCUAGCUAUCCUUUAGUAUACUAGCCUACUUGUAUACAGAAGAG